UACGUAGGGGGCAAGCGUUGUCCGGAUUUAUUGGGCGUAAAGAGCGUGUAGGCGGUUAGGUAGGUCCGUUGUGAAAACUCGAGGCUCAACCUCGAGACGCCGAUGGAAACCAUCUGACUAGAGUCCGGAAGAGGAGAGUGGAAUUCCUGGUGUAGCGGUGAAAUGCGCAGAUAUCAGGAAGAACACCAACGGCGAAGGCAGCUCGCUAGGACGGUACUGACGCUGAGACGCGAAAGCGUGGGGAGGCGAACAGG
rnacentral:rRNA from 1 species